rnacentral:lncRNA from 1 species
GGGAAUCUAUAUCUCUCCCCCCGCCCCACCACCACCAUCGCCUGCUGGGAGGUCGCGCUGGUUAAUGAUUUCUGGGCAAGGAGCUCGGCUUCUGACGGGGGAGCCGGUCUGGCGGGGCUGCCUGAGCGAGGUGUGCUGGGACGCGCCGGGCCGGGCCAGCAGUCCCCGCCAUGGGCGAGGCGUGAGGAAGUCCUCCCGCAAGACCUGCAGGCUGCGGGGGCUCGGCAGGGGGGCUCGACGAUUGGUUACAGUUGGCAGGGAGGCAUGUCAGAGGGGGCCUCCCCAGCCCUCUCCUGCCGCCGCCUCCUCCCUUUGUCCAGCGCCGGGCACUCCGGGGAGCACCAGCCGCGCCUGCGCGCUGCGCUCCCUGCCACCGCCCCGCCGUCCCCGUCUCCCCGCUUGGGCACGGGGCUGUGCGCGACGCAGUGGACGGGUGCGGGGCUCAGCGAGGGACUCCCGGGUCCAUAGAGAUCUGGGGAGGGUGGGGGGAGCAAGGACGAGUGCCUGCCGGGACCCCCCUGGCUCCUCGCUCCCAAGGAGUCGAGGGGAACGUCUCUACCGCGCUGCAAAGCCAGCAGGUAACUUUGGGGAGGUGCGGGCCAGGCCAGCGAGCAGCACUCGGCCCAGGCGCCGCGGGGCGGACGGAUUGGAAGCCGGAUGGAGGCGUGGCCGGGUGGGGGCCGCGGCGGCGGGGAGGCGCGUUCCCGGCGCGCAGAGCUCUAUUGUUAUAUAAAAGUGCCGAAGCCUGCCCCUCCCGAGCGGAAAACCACCUGUGUGCGGCCGGCGCGGCGCGAGAGGGAUGCAGCCGGAAGGCGCGGGCCCUAAUCCGGCCUUCCCUCCCUAAACCCCGGCGGAAAAGAGGCCGCGCUUUGUCCCACCGCUGCCUGAGAGGCGGAAGCGGGGGCAGCCGUCCGGCGGGGUGCGGCUUUGGGGAGUGUCCCUUGCUGCGCUUUGCGCCUACCGUGAACACCGCGAGGGCGCCUAAGGUCGCGGGGUCUCCCUUCGCCCGACGCCCCGCACCCACGGGCAUGCCUGCUAACACCCCCGCUGCAAUUUGCAUUUUUAGUCACCCGCCUCUUCCCUGGUUUGGGAAAUGUAGGCUAAAAAAAGGCGGCUGCGAGGCCUAGGUUGCCAAUUUUGGAGCUCUGCUUCAGGCAGGCCGCCCCUGGAGGAGCGUGUUCGACAAAGGUGGGGAUUGCCGAGCUCCUCUCCGCACCAUUUUUGGGCAGUCCUUGGAACAAAACUCGUAUAUUUCACUGGGUAUCUUCUAGUUUCAGCCGGGGGAGGCCUGCGCUGGAGUUGACUCCCCCUGUCCUCCACGAUCUGUCACAGAAGUUCCCACCCCGAGACGUUUCAGUCAUUGGGACCUGGGGACAGGGAGGGAAGAGGCAGGAUGCCCUUCAGCGGAACUGAGAAGAGCAAACCUGUUGGAGGUUCAGCACAGGACCUCCAACAGAAGAGAAAGGGAGGGAAGUUGGGUUUCUACUUUGCCUGUUUUAAUACGCAGCUACUUGAGUAUGACUAUAGAUUCGGGAGGAUACAUCGAAACUGUAGUUUUACCCAUGCUUCUGAACUUUAUCGCCAAGGGAAUGCCAGUGUUUCCUGGCGCAUUGAUUAAAGUGGCGUUCUGACUGCUCAGUACUAGAAAUGCUGCGAAAAGGGCUUCUGGAGUGGGACGGCCCUCGUUUGCAUUAUGUCCCCCGCUUCUUCCUAGGUAAGCGCCCUUAGUUAAAUCAUUUAGCCGUUCUAAGUUGCAGUCUUCCACGUCGGCAUAACGAAGAUAAAACUAUCUGCUUCAUAGGGUCCCUGUGACGACAAAAUGGGUACGGUGAAACGUCCUAAAGUGGUGGUGGGGUGCUAUUAGCCGUUGGAAUUAAUUUUUCAUUCUGAAUUGAGGACCUGUAAAAAGGCCUCGGCUUGGGGACACGGUUUGGGCAUCCCACAGAUGCCCCUUGAGGCUCGCUUGACAGCCCGCCUGGACUCGCUCAUCUGCAGCAAAGCCCUCUGAGAUACUACCCUAACCGAUUUAAUCCGUUCCAAUUCAGCUGUCAAGUAAAGGGGGUGUUAUCGUAGACCAGGAUCAAAAAUCCUUUAGCACAGUUAUCAGAAUGGACCCAGCUACAUUUCUGAUUUCUCCCUACUGGUCACCUUUGGAACACGCUGUUCUCCAGCCACAGCAAACUGAUACAACAAUGCAUAUUGGGCACUUAACUGCAUGAUGGGUACCGUCUUGUUUCUGUGUUUACUUGCAUAAUUUCGGACAGUCUUCAGAAAAAACAUGUAAAUUAUCCCAUUUACAAAGAUUAAAGAAUUUGCCCAAGGGCACACAGUAGCAACAGAGUGUCAAGACGUGAGGCCAAACCCUUUACAGACUCUUAAGGAUGCCCACAUGCACGGAUUACAUAGAGUGUUAUGGACACUAUAUUCACCUCCACGUGGUAUUCCCUGCCCACAUGUGAAGAAUUUCAAGGUCAGCAUUUUGAAUUUUGACCUCCAGGCUUUCUCCAGCCUCACGUUUUCUGUUGCAUCCUCCAUGUCAAAGAUCAAAAGCGAGGCUGCUUUCCCUGCUCCUUUUACACACCAGUGGUUUUCUUUGCACGCAACCCUUCAUCAGUCAAACAUUCACUAAAUGUUGCAUAUUUUAUCUCUCUUAGAAUAUGCCCUAGAUCCUAAUCUUCACAAGUGUCAUUGGUUAUCUAGUGCGUCAGCACAGCACAUAAGCCUAGGUUCAAACCUCUGUCACUCAGUAGUAGUCUGGGCCUCACUUCAUUCAUUCAUUGAUGCAUUUAUUCUAGAUUCCAGGAAAGCAGUAGAGAAUAAACAGACAACAAUAACCUGCCUCACUGAAGUUUACAUUCUAAUGAGGACAGUCCAAUUAACAAAACAAAUAAUUAUAUAUUAGAAAGUGAAAGCGCUAUAGAGAAAAAGCAAGAAAAGGAAUUCGGAAGUGUGUAACAUUGGGAAUAUAUAUUCCUCCCUCAAAGGACUGUGAGGAUUAGACACAACUGAGAUGACACACGAGAAGUGUAGGGCACAAAGUCGGUAUUCAGAAGAUGAUUUUUAAAAUAUCACCACUUCAUUCCUGCAUAAGGAAUGCUGUUGGUGGUGAUAUUGCCAUUCCUGUGAGGCACUGAGGAAAAGCUCUCUUAGGAGAUAAGGGCUGUAGUAGUUGGAAGAAUUACAGGCUUCCUUAAUUCCAGAGGCCUCAGUGCCCUUCAGAGGAUAUCAUUCAUAUGAAGAGGUCUGUAUUUAAAAAUUGGAGAUAGCAGAUCAUCUGUGAUCCAUUCUCAUGAGUGCAGAGAAGCACUUUCAUAGAUUCUUGUUUCUUCCUCUGUGUGUGUGUGUGUGUGUGUGUGUGUAUGUAUGUGUGCACCGAGCACCUGUGCUUGUGCUUGAAUUCCUCCUGGUGUUUCCCCCUGGAAAGUUCCUUAAAAAUUGUUAGUUAAAAAAAAAAAAUUUUUAAAGCAGUGUAUUUUGGUUAUAAAAUUUUCUCUAGGCCAUUUGAGAAACAUUCCACUUUUGCAGGAAUUUUCCUGAGUUUGAGGGCACUUGAGAUUUAUAAGAUGCAAAUGGGCUAGCAUGACCUUUAAUCUUCUUGGAAUAAUCUCUGUGAAUACAAUGACAUUUAUUAACACAUCAUGUGAAAACAGUUAAACAGAUUUUCAGCAAAUAAGGAGAGUUUUGGAAGUUCUGACUUAAAAUGUAAAUGCAUUUAGGGGUCCCAGGUAGGCCCUCAAAGUGACAGUGGCUUUCAGUGCAGCUAAAACUUCAAAACUGAAUUUAACUGUAUUUGAAGGAUACACCUGAAAUAGUAUGGCUUAAUGUAAAAUGUAUAUGGGUUGCACAAAACUGUCCCUAAGGUCUUCUGAUGAGUGCUUUUAAAAGAUACCAAGAAGUUGUACCACAACAGUAGCAACCGAGAAACACAAGAAGCCUAAGGAACUGACAGUAGGUAACAUGACUUACAGGCAGUGAUAGGCUGUGAGAAAGCCAAAGGGAAUUUCAAAUAGCCCCCAAUUAAAAUUCCAUGAGGGCAGCCCCUGGGAAUUGCAGAUCCAGGUUUGCAAUCAAACUGCUUCUCACGUGGAAGCUCCGUGCAGCUUGCCCCAUGAUGAGGAGCUGCAAGGGCUUAUUGAGCACGGGUUAAUGAUUUCUCCAAACAAUGCGGGGGAAGGGGAAAGGCAGGCUAGGUUAGACCUCAAGGCAGAGGUAGCUGGACAGCAACACCAGAAUCACACCCACAAGCAUAUCUAGGGGGAGAUUGGAGCUUCCCCAUGAACGAGAUGGCACAUUCACGCAUUGCCAGGAUGAUACCACCUGAAGAAAAACAUGAACUAUUGUGAAAUUCAGACCUUAGCCAAUUUGGCUAAGCUUUUAAAAAUUACGGUCUUCGUCAGCUUUCUUGCAUUUCUGUUUCCCGUCAUCUGAUGAAAGACAAAUUAAUUUACAUUCAGGCUCCUGUAGAGACUUUAUCUAGAAUUUUUUUAAAAGCUAGACGGUCUCUAGCAAAGAAAUUCAUUAAAAGAUAGCAAUGUUAAUUUUUUAUUUCAGAUGUUUUAAUUCCAUGCCUUCCACUGGGAAAAUAUUCAUUGAUUCUUCUUCCUUAUCCUUUAUUUUUACAAAGCAGGAAAUGUAAAAAGCAUAUAUAAAUGUAUAUAUAAGAAACUCAUGACGUUGGCAUUUCUGCAGUACAUUUCUGAGUAAGCGCAUUUACCUUCUUUUGGAAAGGAGUUGACGGUACCUUGUUUCCCGUUGUACUAUUUUGAAAGCCCCAGCGAUGAUCCUUAGUGGGAAAGUAUAGCUUACAUUGCCAGCCAGGUAAGUGAGAGACUAUAUGUAUUCAGCUCUCCAAAACCUUCUCAUGUCGUGUCAUGAAGCACCACAUGUGUGGUGUCGGGCAUUAUCCAUGUUGCAUCUUCAUGUGGAAUAUUUGCCGUGAGCCUCCCUGUGUGGGCUGUUUCCUCUGGUGACUUUUCUCUCCAUCUUGUGUUGCUUUAUUUACGCAGGUGUGAGUAGUACAUAUAGCUGUUGUGUAAGAGAACUCAUUAUUUUCCUAAGUGGGUACUAUUUCCUGCCACCCUAUUUUUGCUUCAGAAAUCAGUGGAAGUAACUGUGUGUGUCCACAAUACAGGAAUGCUUUAGCUCAGUUUUUCAAACUUUAAGAACUUGCAGAUCCCCCAAGAAUAUAUUAAUAGAACCCUAGGGAGCCCCAAACUCCAGUCUAAACAACACUGCUUAAGGCUGUUGGUGGGUUCAUUAUAAAAGUUAUAUCUGGACAUAUCAUGAAAUAACAACAUAGUGGCUACAACUUAUUCUACACCAACCAUUGUACGGGUUAAAUCUAACCAUUGUGAUAACCUUGCAAAACAGGUAUACCAUUAUCACAACUUUAAGGUGGGGAAGCCUGAGCUCUAAUGUCAGGUAAUUUAUGCUGGAAUCCAAACUUGCAUCUCAGUCCCUUCAAAGCUCCUUAGUACAUACACACUGCUGCCAACCUGAUGAGUGGCCCUGAAUGAAUUCAACCUGGUAUACCAUGAUAGCUUCUACAUAAUUUGUUACACUUUAUCUUGCUAGUCAAGACUAGGACUUGUGGAAUCAGCCCAACCUGGAUUCUAAUCCUGGCUUACCUACUUUCUGGCCCUAUGACUCAGGGAAACCAUUUCAUCUCCCCAUGUCUCAGUUUCCUUAUCUGUAAAAUGGGAAUACUCUAUCACAGAGCUAUUGCAAUCAAUGAUUUAUAUUUGUAAAGUGGGUAGAAACAGUCCUAGAACAAUAACUCAUUGAUUGCUACCUGUUUUUAUUGUUACACACACACACACACAUAUACACACAAUUCUUUUUUUUUUCUUUGAGACAGUCUCACUCUGUCACCAGGGUGGAGUGCAGUGGCACGAUCUCGGCUCACUACAACUUCCGCCUACCAGGUUGAAGCAAUUCUUGUGCCUCAACCUCUCAAGUAGCUGCAAUUACAGACGUGCACUACUAUGCCCAGCUAAUUUUUGUAUUUUUAGUAGAGACAGGGUUUUGCCACAUUGCCCAGGAUGGUCUUGAACUCCUGGCCUCAAGUGAUCCACCAGCCUUCCAAAGUGCUGGGAUUACAGAUGUAAGCUACCGCACCCAACCACAACUCUUAAUAAAUGUUUAUUGACUUUGCUGAAAAGGGAUCAUAUAACAAAAAAACACUAUAGUGUUAAUUUAGUUCUCAGGAAGAGAAAAACAAUCCAUACACAUUUUUUGAAAAAAGUUUCAAAGAACAGAAUCAACUGCUUUACGGCCCCUCUUAGUUGCUGAUAUAAGCAACCCAGAAAUUGAGGUUUCUUAAUGGGCUGAGAUACCUGGAUAGUUUGGGGACAGUGAAAACACACUGCGUACCAGGGGUUCCCCAUCACUCUAGGACUCACCUGCUGAAGUAGCAGGCACUUUCCCUGCUCCAUCAAUGCUGGCUCAUAGCUGAUCCUAUGGACUGCAUAUUGUGCAAGAGGAGAAUUGGAAAUCUACUAGCCUGAGCCACAUAGCUGUCGUCUCUCAGUAAUCUGGGUUCAAGGCAGCUAAUGGAAACACACAUUUAUAUUAUGAGUCCUGCAUAUAAGAAGUCCCAUUCUCUGGGAAUCUCCUUUCUCCUUCCGACUUCAUGCCCAGCAGGAGCUUUUCAGAAUACAAGGAGGGGGAAGAGGGGAGGGUCAGAGCUGAGCAUGAGAGCCACUCUUCUGUGACUGGAAGGAAACUUCCAUUCAUGGACAGAUGAGAAAGCCUGUGCUAGAAGCCACCUUGUAGAAACAUACCCAGGUUUGAGUAAACAGACACCUGCUUAGCACAGUUUCCAUACUAAUUUUUGCACAUAUAUGAUUCCAAGAUUAUUUUUAUUAAACAUCCGAUAAGUAUAUAUCCUUUGGUAUAAAUCCAUCAGGUUUUGCUGGACCUACCAGAAGUUUUAGAUUCCUUACCCAAACCUCCAAAGUGUAAACCUGGCCGGGCAUGGUGGCUCACGCCUGUAAUCCCAGCAUUUUUGGGAGGCCAAGGCAGGCAGAUCACGAGGUCAGGAGAUGGAGACCAUCCUGGCUAACAAGGUGAAACCCCAUCUCUACUAAAAAAUACAAAAAAAAAAAAAAAAAAAAAAAAUUGGCCGGGUGUUGUGAUGGGCACCUGUAGUCUCAGCUACUCGGGAGGCUGAGGCAGGAGAAUGGCAUGAACCCGGGAGGUGGAGCUUGCAGUGAGCCAAGAUCGUGCCACUGCACUCCAGCCUGGGCGACAGAGCAAGACUCCCUCUCAAAAAAAAAAAAAAAAAAAAAGUGUAAACCCUUGCUAGGUCAUGCCCCUCCCUAACCAAUUUCCCAGGGAAAAAGCCUUUAUGAUGGGAUUUCUCUGUCCUUUUGUUAUAUUUUCUGUAUGGUAAUUUGCUUUUGUUUUUGGCUUAACACAAAUUUAUUAUUUUUCAGUUCUGUACGUCAUAAGUCCCAAAGGGGUCUCCCUGGACUAAACUCAAGGUGUCAGCAGGGCUGCUUUUCAUUUUGGAGGCUCUAGGGGAAAACCUGUUUCCCUGAUUAUUCAGGUUGUUGGCUGAAUUUAGUCCUUAUGGGUGUAGGACUCUGGUCCCUGUUUGCUUGCUAUGUUCCCAACUUCUAGAGGCCACCUGCAUUCCUUUGCAUGUGCCUCCUUUCCUGUGUCUUCAAGGCCAACAACAGCAGAUCACAUGGUUUUCAUGCCUCAAAUCUCUGCUGCCUCUUCUACCACUUCUCUCCUCUUCUACGUUUAAGGACUCAUGAGGUUACAUUGGGCCCACCUAGGUAAUCCAGGAUAGUCUCCCCAUCUCAAGGUCUUUAAAGUCUCCUUUGCCAUGUAAGGUAACAUAUUCACAGGUUCCAGGCAUUAGGGCAUAGAUAUCUGGGAGAUCAUGCUGCCUGCAUGUGGUUGUCUUGAAGAGACAGGUAAUUUGUUGGAAAGGGGAAUGGGGGAACUUUUUGGAGUGAGGGAAAUGUUCUAUAUCUUGAUUAGGGUGGUGGUGGGUAUUCAAAUGUUAAAUCUUUUAAAUUUUAGUUUAACAUCUAUAUUAUUGCAUUUUCCAACUGUUAUAUUUUGCUUGUAAUUAUUUAUUUAGAAGCAACUUUGUGUGAGGCAUUGUAUUAAGCACUUUAUGUAAUCAUCUCAUGCAUUGUUUUCUCCUAGUACUCUGGUGUUAUCACAUAAUAAGUUUACUUUAACCGAUUAAGUUUGAUGAUGCAGUGUAGUGACUAGAGUCUUUCAGGUACAUAUUGUUCCACUUUAUGGCUAUUUUCCAUUUCAAUUUAAAGGCCAAGGGGGUUUUCUCAUUUACGAGUUUAUUAUAAAAGCUAUUACAAAGGAUACAGAUGAAGAGAUGUGUAGGGCAAGGCAUGUGGGAAGGGGCUUCAGUUUCCAUGCCCUUUCCAGGUGCACCAUACUCCAGGAACCUCCAUGAACUCAGCUAUCCCAAUGCUCUAGUAAUUUAAGUAAUUCAGUGUAACCAGCUGUAGUACUCUAUGCUUUAGGCAGGAAUAAUUAGCUGGCAUUUUUUUAAUGUGAAUCCACUUGAUGACCUUUAAAAUUUAGUAUAAAGGAUAUUAAAAACAAAUUCUUUCUUUUUUUUUUUUGGCAGGGGGACAGAGUCUCACUCUUGUCACCCAGGCUGGAGUGCAAUGGCGCAAUCUCGGCUCACCGCAACCUCCGCCUCCUGGGUUCGAGUCAUUAUCCUGCCUCAGCCUCCUGAGUAGCUGGGAUUACAGGCACCUGCCACCACGCCCGGCUAAUUUUGUAUUUUUAGUAGAGAUGGGGUUUCUCCAUGUUGGUCAGGCUGUUCUAGAACUCCCGACCUCAGGUGAUCCGCCUACCUUGGCCUCCCAAAGUGCUGGGAUUACAGGCGUGAGCCACUGCACCUGGCCUAAAAACAAAUUAUUUAUGUUCUUGAAAUUGGUGCACUUACAAUAUGUGGUAGAGGAGGUGUGGCAGGACACAUGGACCUUGCAUGACCAAGGUACAAGACAGCAGACAGCUCAACUGUCUGUGUCAUGGUGCGGCUUCCAGCACUGAGCCUAGGAUCCUGCCCCCAUGAGAUGACACGACCUGCAGGUUCACCUUUAGAACAUUGCUGACUUCAGUGUGGCCCUUUCAUGCAAUGUGCUGUUAAUUAGAGUACUUAUGGCAGAGAGAAGGACUUUUUCCCAGUGUGUAUAACUGUACCUACUGCUAAAGCAUGAUUUUUAAUCUAGUUAAAUUUGCUGUGAAAUUUACAUUUAUAGUGAGAGUGAGAUGAAGUGUGGUGUGGAAUGUAACCUAAAUCUGGAGCCUCUAACUACUAACCCCUGAUUUUGAUCAAAAGAAUCUGACAAGUACUCUAUAGACAAACUGGCUUAAAAGGAAAGCUUUUUAAAAAAAUAUAGGUGCCCAAGUCCCAUAACCAGUAAUUCUGAUUUAAUUGAUGUAAGGUGGAUCUUGGCAUUGAUAUUUUCCAAAAGCUGCCCAGAGAAUUCUGAUAUGUGGCCUGGACUAACAACUGGUUUAGAAGCAUUCACAACAAUCAUCCCCUAACAGUCCCUUGCCUAGGCAGAGGUUUCCAGUGAGCCCAAGAGCUUCCCACCCAGACCAGUAGGUCUAGAAAUGAAAUGUUUAGAAACACCUGGAGGUACUUGCUCUCAGUCCAUAUCCUGGCCUACCCGACAGGGACUCUGAUUCGGAAGAUCUAGGGAUGGGCUCAGGCAACUAUAUUGUAGUCCAGCAGCCAGCAGUGGCUUAUACAGGUGGACCAAACUUUGAGAAGCUUCCAGUGACAUCCCAGAUAGUCAGAUUCCUCACUCAUCCACUCUGUUCAGCAAUUGUAGAAAUGUUCUUGAAGUAACUGGAAAGAUGAGUCAAAUAGUAUUCUUUAGACACAAGCAUCAGAACUUCGUAACAGGAAAAUGCUGUGUCAGGCAUAACUAAUCUGCUUGCCCUUGUAAAUGCAACUCUUGAACUGGUAUGCACUCUGAUGAGUUAUUUACUGGUGAAACCUGUCACAAAGCGUUGGGAGAUUACAAAGAACAGAAGAAGGUAUCUUGGUGGCAGCAUCGUGUGUUUAUUGAACACCCGUUGUGUGUCUAAAACUGAAAUGACUGCUGGGGCUUAUGAAAAUGAGUGAGAUUCAGGCCCUGCUGUCACAAAAAAAUAUAAGUCUAACUGGGGAGGUUAGACAUGUGCCCAGGUAGCUAGAAUGUAAUGUAAUAAAUGUGGUCAUUGCAGUAGAAAGGAAGUGCUAUGGGAACAAGAGGAGGAAAUGGUUCAUCUACCUUAGGGUGGGAGGUGGAAGGUAGAGGUGGGGUGCUGGGAAGUGUCCCAGGGGAGGCAGCAUCUGAGUUAGAUUCCCCAGGGAGCAGAUUUCUCACUGUCCCCAUCCAGUGGGAUAGGAGAAGAACCACACACACUCUGGGCAAGACAGAAAGAUGACAUGAGCUAAGGUUUGGAGGGAUGGACAUGUGUGACCAGUGCAGUGCAGGUGAAUGGUAUGGAAGGCAAAGAUUGGCAGAGAAUACAGGAAAGGUAGUGUAGUGCCAGAUGGAAAUGGGCUUUGGAUGUCAUGGUAAGAAGUUUUGAAUUUUUCUUUAGGUGAAGUCAUCAUAGAUAUUUAUACAGGGGUGUGACAUGAUUUCAGGAUAUAAUUCUGUAACAAAGGGGGCGAGUAGACUGGAAGGGAGAGAGAAACUGGGGGCAGGAAAACCAAUUAGGAAGCGAUUGCAAUUGUCCAGAAAAAGGAUGCAGUACCACCACGAUCAUCCUCUUCCUAAAAUAAUGUAUUCAUCAACCUGCUUAGUUUUAUUCCUCCUAUUUCUGCAGCUAGAAAAAUCACUUAGCCCUCUUGUGACUCAGAAUUUCUCCCUAUUAAUAGAAGAUGACAGAAUACUUAUCUCACCUCACACAGGGAGAUACUGAGAGAUGCUUGCAAUUGUAGCCACGAAAGAGGGGGAAAUGUUAUUCCAAAUGCCAGUGGCAGUAAUUACUCUGGAGUAGUGAGGGGAGGGACACUGCCUUUCCUCACUAACAGUCCAUUAUAAAAAUUUCAAACCUAUAGAAAAGUUGAAAGUUGAGUAAGAGCAUCAGAAAUACUCUUUGGAGGGAAGCUUCUGCAGAAAUUCCAAGUACUCACCACCCAGGAAGUGGCAUUUCCAAUCUAAGGGCCCAUUGCCUUCAGGAUGAGAAUGCCAUUGCAGCCUAUUUGGUUACAAACAGUGUUCUAUAAUAUGAGAUUUUGUAAAGAAAGGCCCAUUUUCCCAUUGUUUUCCAUUACAAACAAAAGUGUAAGGAAUGAUAUUCUUAUUAUUCCUAUUGCUGAAAUGGGGCUGGGGAGGGCCAUAUUUGAAGGAGUUAUACCAUCAUCUACAUGCUUUCAAGCUGUGUUUUGCCCUUUGGGGUUUGGAGUCUGCCCUUGUAGCAAGAGGCACGUAGUCAUACCUUUUCCAUCUGCUGCUGGGCCCCUUCCCAUACUAGGUCUCCAUUUCAGCACCCUGGACCACAUCAGAAUUCUUUCUUGUUUUUGGAAAAGCAUCAUUGAUAUCUACCGCAGGGUGUGUGACAGACAUAAACUGCUUUAAGUUUUGCCAAAAUGACUGUGUCUUCUACCUUUGAAAAAAAAUCUGUGCUCUCUAUAUUUGCUGAGUUGGUAUAAGAUAUUCCAAGGGAUAAAAAGAUAAAUAAUGAAGAGACACUGCCCUCAAGAAGCUAACAGAUAGGACUGUGACCUAAUGAAGAAGUUAGGAGGGUAGCAUUCAGUGCUUUUUUAGAACAGUAUCAACUUUCAAGAUUCAAAAGGAUGGUCGUGUUCAAUGACUGAUGGAGUCCUUCCAACUGGAAUGGGGUGAUUUGAACUUACAAUGAGGAAACCCAAAGUACUUCAUUUUAUAUAUGAAAAUCAAAUGGUUAUUGAGUGAUAUAAUAAGGAGACCUAUCAGGAAUACGUAAGGAGAAGAUAAUUUAUGCUCCUUUCUAAAGUACAUUUACGUAAGUAAUGAAUGAUUAGCUCUUUCAAAUGGAAAUGUUUUCUCUAGUACAGUAAAUUAUUCUGAUUCAUUUGUUCACUCUUAACAUGCAUUUCUUGGAAAACUUACUGGCAAAAUUUGUCACAAAGCAAUUAGGAGACUACAAAGUACAGAAGAAUAGCCUUUAAAUCCUUACACAAAUUAGUUCUUAUUUUAAGGACAGUUUAAAUCUCACAACAUCACAGCCUGCUUUUGCAUGCACUCUUUCAUUUACUUGUUAGAUUCCUUUACUGCAAAGAGCUCAAGGAAAACAACUAGAAACAAACCAUGGCUAUGCUGACAAGAAAGUGUCAGUUAUAAAGGGAAAUGAAUGAAGAUUUAUUCAUUUAUUAAUAAAGUAAUGUGGGCAGCCAUUUGAUAAUUCUAAUUUCUGAUUUAGUCUUUAAAGUUGACUUAUUUGCAUACAUUUUUAAAAGUCUGUGCUGUUGCCAAGUGACUUGGAACUACACAGCAUAGUUUACUUACAAAUUAGAUGAAAGCCUCUUUUAAAAUGUCUGCACAUAUUGUACUUUUUUUCUCUUAAAAAUAAGCCAUUGUUGAUUUAUUUUUGGACAGGUGAUAUUUGUGAAUGGAACAAAAUAUAAAAGGAAGGAUAUGGCAUACAGUAAGUCAGUCUCUCCUGGCCACCCAGUUCCUCUCCCUGGCACCAACCACUUUUGACUAGCAUUUUGUGUAUCUUCUCAGGGGGAGUCUAUGCAUGUACAAGGAUAUGCAUUUAUUAUUGGUGUUAUUGGUAUGCAAUUGUAGCAGACUCGUUUUUAAUGACUACAUAGUAUUCUAUUGCAUGGACAUAGCAUAAUUUAUUUAGUCAGCCAUCCUAUCGAUAGAUAUUGAGGUUGUUCGUAAUCUUUUUGCUAUUGCAAGCAAUGACUGCAAUGAUUAUGUUUUAUACACUCAUCCACCUUGUGGUGAAUAUAUCUGUAGGGUAAAUUCUUAAAUAUGGAAUUGUUUGGUCAGAGUAUAUGAGUUUAUAAUUUUGAUAAUUAUUGCCCAAAUGCCCCCUUCAGAGAUCGCACUAAUUUGCAUUCCCACCAGUAAUGUAUUUCCCCAUACUUUAGCUGACACAAUGUGUUCUCAAACCUUUGCCACUCUGAGAGAUGAAUAUUGGUAUCUCAUGGUAACUUUAAUUUGCCUUUCUCUUAAGAGUCAAUUUGAGCGUGUUUUUGUAUGUUUAAAGGCUGUUUGAAUUUUUUUCUGUGAACUGUCUAUUCAUAUCCUUUACUCAUUUUUUGAGUAGAUUGUUGAUCCUAUUUUAUUUUUAUACCUUAUUUUGCAACCAUAAUGUUAAGUUCAUUUUAGCCUCUGAACUCAAAUACCAUUUGUCAAUCAUUAGUCCAAAUAAAAAAAAAGUGGAGCCACUUAAUAAUCCUAACGCACAGUUUGAAACAUAAUUCAUUGAUGCCUGACUUUUCCUUCUCAACUAGUUUUAAUCUCAAAUUUUAAUGGGAACUGUCCUCACUCCUUAGGCCCAGUCAGGGUCAAAGAGUCCUGGGUUUUAUUUGUUUUAUUUGAACCCCAGGAGAGUUGCUUGUCUGAAGCUCUGUUUUAGCAAUAGAUUAUUUAUACAAACUCUCUGAUAAAUUUUAACUCAUUAAAUAGCAGCGUUAAUAUACUCAUCUAGCACCACAUUCCCUGCCUUCUGCAUGAGCAGAGGAGAGAGAGUGAUACUAUUAAAUAUUCAAAAGCCUUUAUCCUUAUCCCAACCCCUCCAUAGGAAGAUGCUAUCUUGCCUGGGCUAGGUGUAGUGGCUCACACCUGUAAUCCCAGUGCUUUGGGAGGCCAAGGUGGGAGGAUCACUUGACACCCAGAGUUCAAGACCAGCCUGGGCAACAUAGUGAGACCCCAUCUCUACAAAAAUAAAACUAAAAAAAUUAGCCAGGUGUUGCAGGCACCUGUAUUCCUAGCUACUCAAGAGGCUGAAGUGGGAGGAUCACUUGAGCCCAGGAGUUUGAGGUUACAGUGAGCUAUUAUCAGGUCACUGCACUCUAGCCUGGGAGACAGAGCGAGACCCUUUUUUUUUUGAGACAGGGUCUCACUCUGUCACCCAGGCUGGAGGGCAGUGGCGAAAUCUUGGAUCACUGCAACCUCUGCCUCCUAGUUUCAAGUGAUUCUCCUACCUCAACCUCCCGAGUAGCACGCCUGGCUAAUAUAUAUAUAUUUUUUUAAUGGAGACAGUGUUUCACCAUAGUGGCCAGGCUGGUCUCGAAAACCUGACCUCAAUUGAUCCACCUGCCUCGGCCUACCAAAGUGCUGGGAUUACAGGCAUGAGCCACCAUACCCAGCCAACCCUGUCUCUUAAAGAAGAAGAAGAAGGGAGAGGAGGAGGAGGAGGAGGAUGAGAAGGAGGAGGAGGAGGAGGAGGAGGAGAAGGAGAAGAAGAGAAGGAAGAGGCAGAGGGGGAGGAGGAGGAGGACUAGAAGGAGGAGGAGGAAUUAUCUUAUUAUCUUGCCCAUUAAAUAAAAAAGCGUAAAAGUCCCUUGCUUCUUUCUUUUUCAGAAUGGGGAUAGUUUAAAAGUGUCUGUUUGCAAUCCCCAAAUAUCAUAUUGCUUUUGGCAGCUGAUAUUCUUUAGCAGCUGAUUAAGUGAUACAUAUUUUACACAAAACAGAAUAUCCUGAAUCAAAGGGAUUUUGAAUAUUUAUUUGAACUGGCUUUAUCUCAGGUAUAUAUCUGGAAUUCACUGAAAAUAAAAUGGGUGGUAAGGACUCAAAGAUGACAGAGGAUAGCAACAACAAUAACAAGAUGGAGAUCAGGAAGUAGGUAUGCAAAUACCUGUAGGUUGGAUGUAUAUAGGAAAAGCUACCAUAUCAAACUGGGCAGAAGCAACCAAUCCAGAAAAAUAACUUCUAGCAUCCAAUCAUAUUGUGGUGAGAUUAAACUCACAAGAAAGUUAAAUGAGGUUUAGAGAACAUAUUCUCAACCCAUACAUACUUCAUUGGAGCAACUCUUGUUAAUCUUAAGGGGAAUUAUGGAACUCCAUUCUUCCUUCUUAUUUAGAAGAAAAUAGAUUCAAGGCCAAAUUUGUAGGCCAAAUUGAAGAUAUAACGAGAUUUUUUUUUUAACUCAUCGUCUUUGCCAAAUUCUCUAGAACAUAAAACCUGAGGCAAAGAUUACUUGCUAAGUCUAUGUUGGGUGGUGCAAUUUCAGGGCUAUAAAAGGGAAUGAGAAAAAGGUGAGGCAGGAAAGGAAGGAAUGCAAAUACUAGACGGUGUGUUAAGGAGCUGGACAUAACUUCACAAAGAACAAAGCCUGUUGCUGGGUCCUGCAUGUCACCUUGAAACAGUCCAUCAGGUGGGGAGGGCAGUGGGAGGAGCAAUGGGGGGAGAAAGAGGAAUUUAUCUUCUUGACCUCUAGUCCCUUGAUUCAAAAUUUAACUCUGAUUUAAGGGAGCCGUUGGGUAAGCCAGAUUCCACAUCCCACUAAACUGCCUGGAAGAGGUGGGAGGAGAGCAGCCAUUAAGGUAUGAGGUACAGAGUCCCAUCAGGUGAGACCCAUGUCUGUAGCCACUGAGGUUCCUGUUGCAACAGGUGAGAUGUGAUCUUCCCAAAGCCCCAGCUUCUUCCGCAGGAGGCUGAGACAGCAGGCCCACGGAUGUCCAUUCAGGAAGAGGCUAAGGCUUGGGGGUCAGGUGAAGAAUCUUGAGAGACACAAAAAUUGUUCUAGUAUAGUCAUGACUUAAAAUUAUAAAGAAUAAUUUUCAAGUCUUUUAGCAAAUCCAUGAAUUGGUGUUUUUGUGGAGAUAUGAAUGACUUUCAGUAAAAGAGUCACCGAAUCAUAAUAGGUAUGGAGGUGGAAAUUCUAUUAUUAAGAUUUAUGAUUACUGAAAUAUUUUCAUGAUUACUCAGAUCCAUUUCUGGACUGACCUUAUGCUUAACCAGAUGAUGUUUAUUAUUAAAGCUGAUUUUUAACGAGUGUUCAUUAAUAAAAAAUGCUCUUAACCACAAGGCUUUGUUUCCAAGUGAUGUAUAAUAAUAUGUGCUAAAACACGAAUCUCAAUUUCCAGAUGCAUAUUUUACCAAAACACCUAUUGCACUAAGGAAAAUAUGACAAAUUCUUUUUUUUGUUUGUUUUUUUCCUUUUUCCCUUUGCUUUUUAUUGCUCAGGAAACUAUGAUUGAUUGAGUUUAUGAACACAUGAACAGGCAAGCACGUACACUUAAAAGAUGAAACAAAGAAAAAAGUUGAUCCAUGUCAUUCCAUGAGAAAGGCUGCCCGCAGCACUCCAGCUCAAACACAGUGUCCCCUCAAGCUCUCUAUCCCCCUCCCCACUCCCUCACCUUCCCUCUGAUUCAGGGAAAUCAGAUUGGGAGGUUAGUGCAUCAUUGACAGAGAAUGCCCUCCUUCCACGCUCUGUAAGUCUCCCCCAGAAGCGGGGAAGGCAGUUCCCUUCAGUAGCGCACUUAGGGUUGAUUAGUGUUGGUUCCACAAGUUAAGGCACUUCAGGCUGCUUUAGUGGCAGCGUGGUUCCUCCCCUCCUUUUUUAAGGCAUGUGUCCUCUAAGAGUAGUAAAGCUUUGGAAACUGUGCAGACUGUUAAAGUUGACAGCUUAAUACAGGAUCAUUGAAGUCAGCAGGCAAAAGGAUCCUCGGAGACACCUCCCUCAGACCAGAAGCUUCCAGAAGGCCUGGGCAGCUCUGUGUUUCGGCUGGGCAUGGCACACUGGAGCCCCCCGAGGCCAGAGGGUGGUGCGUUCAGGUAGCAAAGACAGGUGGGCUCCGUCCCGCCUUCACCUGCAGCUGCCCUGGCUGCUGGUGGAGAAAAUAUGACAAAUUCUAAUUUUUCUGCACAUUAAUGUGCUGUGGUAUAGGUCUAAGGGAGGGGGCGCAGAUGGUGGUGAUGGAAGUGGAAACAAAAAAAUCAAUGAAAGAGACUCUUGAUAAAACAAGCGUCAUAUAUCUAAAAAUAAAAUAAUAACAAAUGGUUAUCCUAGCGUAUACAUCCAGAUGACAUUUGGAAAUUUGCAUAGAAGUAACAGAAGGGCUAAAUGAAGCCUUCUGGAAAAGUCAUAGUCUUUCAAACUUUAUGUACUCUUGGAUUCUAGAAACUCACUUCAGUUAUUUAAGUGAAAUGACCAGAAUUAGUGUCAUCUCCAUACAUUGAGCAGGAAGUUAACUUUGAGGAACUAUACAUGAGCACUUGUCCCUGAGGUUGUAGUAUCUUUAUGUCCUUUCCACGCCCUCGCCACAAAAAGCCCCAGCAAGAACAAUCAAUGUUUUCCUGCUUAACCCGUAUUUUUAUCUGAAUGUACAUUCUCCCUCCUCCCUCUUCCCUCUAGGCAUUUGCUAGGCCCUUAGGAGGUCAGGCAACUUGCACUGUGGCACAUGAAGAAUAUUCACAUACUUCAUAUCCUGCAGGAGAAAGGAGACAGCACAAGAAAUUCUGUUGUCACUAAUUGAAAGUAGUUUAUCACUUUAUCUUUAGAAGGUCUAAUGCCAAAACUUCAAGGAGAUAAUAAAUAGUCCAGUCUGGGUUUGAGCCUGGAGUUUGGAUGUCUAAGAUGACUCCGAGCGGAUGUGGAUUUACGUGUUAGUACCUGAAAGUGGGCACAGCCCCCACCUUGGAAUGAAUGUACACUUCCAAAGGACUCGUUCCCACAGGGUGGUGGAAGGAACAACAGAGACAGCUAUGUGCCCACAUGCUCAGCCAUCUGCCAUUCCAACCACAUGUCUCUCCCCCCGUUUCCUGCAAAUGAUUCAUCUAUUCUUUUUCUCCUUCUUCAAAGAUAACUCUGUAAGCACUUAAGGAGGGGAAAGUCAUUAAGAAAAGUGGAAUCUGGAGUUAUUAGGAUGAGAUAGAGCAGAUUAAACAGUCUGGAAUUUCACAAAGCAAACAGCACAGGGUGCGGACCCUGGGCCCGUCUCUCUCCUGCUGGUGCAUCAUUUCACAGGUUAUCAUCCUUCAUGAACAGGUCAACAAAAAUGGCCACAGGUAAACAUGAGCAUAUGAGUUGCUAAAGAGAAAGAAAGACAGAGAACAGCAGAAGUCAGGAGGAUUCUGGAUUUUCCAACUGGAGCCUCUGUGCAUCUUAUCCAGCAUCACAGACAGUGUCUGUCGCUAAGUGAUGCCAAAGGUUUUACACCAAUGAAUGGGAUCUUUGUGACGUUUUCCCAAUAACAGACCAAAAAGCUGCCACUAAAAUCAUGCUUUUAAAGGAGAUCCUGAACAAUAGCCAGUGAAGGUGAUUAUGGCCAUGUCCCCAUGUCCAUGAGGAGGUGCUUGGUGGGUAUUUGUUGAAUUGCAUCAAACUGGAGUUGGAUGGGACUCAGUUCAAAUCCUGACUCUGCUUCCAGCUUCUGGUACAUUAGGCAAGUUGCUAAACCUCUGGGCUUAGGGGAUAAAGACACUACCUCACAGGGUGGAGUGAGGAGUAGAAGAUAAUAUACGUGAAGUACUUCAUGUGGUCUUUGGAAAGAGGUAGAUAGAUAGGCAAAUAUCAGGUGAUUACAAAUACUCCUUAUAAUUUCACUUCAGUUUGUACCGCAUCUCACACCCUGAAGCUAGCAGGGUAAAGAGCUCUCAGGAGAAUGAAGAGGCCUCUGGCCCAUUCUAGUAUGGUCUCUCCCAUCAGGAGGGGAAAGGCAAAUAUUGCAUGGGACCUGGCAAUAAGAUUGAAUGAGACAUAAGCAAAGUCUGAUCGCAUCCUUAUCCCCACCCCUUAACAGCCACUAUAUCCCUUGAGGCAAGUGAAGGGCCCCAGAAGUGAGGGAUCUUAUUGCUAAGUAGAUCAGACAGAGUUCUUAAAGAUUCUAAUAUGUUGCCUGUAUUGUCUCAUCUGUAAAAUGGGUGUUAAAAUAGCACUCAUAUCUUGGGUUAUGAAGAUGAAAGAAGAUAAUCUAUGUAAAGGACUGAGCACAGGGCCUGGGACAGUUAGUGAUAGAUACAUGUUAGCUACUGUUGCUAUUUUGUAUUCCAUGUUCAAUCUAUGAUAUUGAUUAACCUGUUUAUUGAUUGCUGGAUUUUCAUUUAGUAAAUUAAUUUUCAAUAAAUGAUUUUCACUUAAGCAUUUGUUCACGCAGUCACUUCAUUCAUUUAUUUAUCAUAAAACAUUUAUCAAGGUCCUAUUCUAUACUGACACUAUGCUGGGCUCAAGAGAUGCUGAGGCUUUUUGGGCAAGAAGGUUGAAGACUAGGCAGGGAGAGAGACCUGAACUAAAGCAGGAGAAGGCAAGGUGUAGUAUACACAUCAUGGAGACAUGUAUAAAGCAUUCCUGGAACCCAGAGGAACCAGGAAGUGCUGCUCAUAAAAGAUGCUUUUUGAACUAGAUCUUGAAGAGUGAGUAGCCCGAGGAGUUUGGGCUUGCGAAUUCUAGAUAACAAGAACAGCUUGCCAAAAGGGAUAAAGUUGUGAAACAAACAAACAAACAAAAAACAGGGUUUGGAGCCAGGAGGACUUUGGUGUGAGUGGUGUUUGGCCAUUCUGCCUGGUGCCUUCCUUUGAAUUUAGGUUCGACCCCCUGUGGGGGCCACAGAGAGUCACCUGCAGCUCAGUCUUACCCCAGGUGCUGGGCCCAAGUCUGCUCUUAGAGGAAAUGUAAGUAGCUUAUAUCACUCAGUAUCGGGUCAGCUAGGCUCUGGGUUCUGUUCUGAGCUCCUGCUCUAUUUCUAGCUGUGAAGUUUCCACUUGAUUCCUGUCACAGGCUCUACCUUGUAUUCCAGUUCAAAUAACUGGGCUUUGGCCUUUGUUCUUU